AGAACGAACGCUGGCGGCAGGCUUAACACAUGCAAGUCGAGCGCCGUAGCAAUACGGAGCGGCAGACGGGUGAGUAACGCGUGGGAACAUACCCUUCGGUUCGGAAUAAUUCAGGGAAACUUGGACUAAUACCGGAUACGGACGAGAGUCGAAAGAUUUAUCGCCGAAGGAUUGGCCCGCGUUCGAUUAGCUAGUUGGUGUGGUAACGGCGCACCAAGGCGACGAUCGAUAGCUGGUCUGAGAGGAUGAUCAGCCACAUUGGGACUGAGACACGGCCCAAACUCCUACGGGAGGCAGCAGUGGGGAAUAUUGGACAAUGGGCGCAAGCCUGAUCCAGCCAUGCCGCGUGAGUGAUGACGGCCUUAGGGUUGUAAAGCUCUUUCGCUAGGGACGAUAAUGACGGUACCUAGACAAGAAGCCCCGGCUAACUUCGCGCCAGCAGCCGC
rnacentral:rRNA from 1 species